rnacentral:rRNA from 1 species
UACGGAGGGUGCGAGCGUUGUCCGGAAUCACUGGGCGUAAAGGGCGCGUAGGCGGCGCGAGUAGUCAACGGUGAAAGCCCGGGGCUCAACCCCGGGUCGGCCGUCGAUACUCUCGUGCUUGAGCACUGUAGAGGCAGGUGGAAUUCCGGGUGUAGCGGUGGAAUGCGUAGAGAUCCGGAAGAACACCGGUGGCGAAGGCAGCCUGCUGGGCAGUAGCUGACGCUGAGGCGCGACAGCGUGGGGAGCAAACAGG